UGGGGAAUAUUGCACAAUGGGCGCAAGCCUGAUGCAGCCAUGCCGCGUGUGUGAAGAAGGCCUUCGGGUUGUAAAGCACUUUCAGCGAGGAGGAAGGUGGUGAACUUAAUACGUUCAUCAAUUGACGUUACUCGCAGAAGAAGCACCGGCUAACUCCGUGCCAGCAGCCGCGGUAAUACGGAGGGUGCAAGCGUUAAUCGGAAUUACUGGGCAUAAAGCGCACGCAGGCGGUUUGUUAAGUCAGAUGUGAAAUCCCCGGGCUCAACCUGGGAACUGCAUUUGAAACUGGCAAGCUAGAGUCUCGUAGAGGGGGGUAGAAUUCCAGGUGUAGCGGUGAAAUGCGUAGAGAUCUGGAGGAAUACCGGUGGCGAAGGCGGCCCCCUGGACGAAGACUGACGCUCAGGUGCGAAAGCGUGGGGAGCAAACA
rnacentral:rRNA from 1 species